UUAUUAAAAGUAAUAGGGUUGAUCAUUAUCAACAAAAGCACUAUAUUAAAUGUGUUUAUAAUUAAAGAGAAAAAGGAUGGUGUCCCAGUCAGGUCUAAAAUUAGUAAAUUAUAAUGUAUGAUGUGGAUUUCAAAAAAAUUAAAUCUUAAUUGCUCUUAUUGAAUGGAAUGGGUUUGAUCAUGAACAAAUUACAGAAGUCUUUUUUAUUUUUAUUUUUUUAAAAUAAGUGAUUGUUUUAAGAAUCAAUUAUUUUAACUAUUAUAAAUAUUUUUGAGAUGUGAAAAUGCAUUCAUGAAAUGAAGGGAUAGAAUGCUUUUCAUUUUAUAUUGAAAUGACAAUUCUCUCUAUGGUGAACUGAUCAGAUGUGUCCAAUGUCACUUAGAUGCCCACUGUUUUGGAUGGGCUAAAUUACUGUAUAAAGGACGAUAAGCAUUUAGAUGCUCAUAAGUAUUCAAUGUUUUAUUACCUUGAAAUUGCAACAACAAAAAAAUAUUUAAAACAUUCUAUGCAUGUUUAAGUUAUUGAACUAAUUUUUUCACAAGGUAUAUGAAAACCCUAGGGUAAAUUCACAGUGGAGAACUGGCAGAAGAGUUAAUUUCCAAAUAAAAAAAACUUUAUACAUUUCUUUUAUUAAAAAUGUAGACUUCUCAUCACAACAUUUCAUUAAAUCUAGAUAAUGACGACUAUCAAAAUUUAGGAUGCAAUCAACAGUACUGAUGGAGAUGAAAGAAGGAGAAAAUUUCAAGUGUGAGAUUGCAUUUGAUGAGAUUGAUAUGACAAUGGUACAUGCACCAGAGCCAACUGUCAAACAGCACUCCAGCCAACAACAGUUUCCUCUUGUAUUCUUUGACUUGGAAUCAAAAGGACUAGCCAGAUAUUCUCAUAUUACACAGCUGCCGUGUGUGGUGAAGAAAAGUUUUCCACCUAUACCUUUCCAAAAAUACCUAUAACAGCAAAAGACUCAGAAAUAACAGAAAUCGAAAAUGUUAAUGGAAAUAUGUUUAGCAAAAAUUAAAAAUGUAGAAGUCAAUCCUUGGAAAAUGGAUGCUCCUCUUGAUUUUGUUUCAAAAUUUCAAACUAAAGUAA